GUGGGGAAUAUUGGGCAAUGGGGGAAACCCUGACCCAGCGACGCCGCGUGGGUGAAGAAAUCCUUCGGGAUGUAAAGCCCUGUUGUAUGGGAAGAGCGGAAGACGGUACCAUACGAGGAAGCCCCGGCAAACUACGUGCCAGCAGCCGCGGUAAUACGUAGGGGGCAAGCGUUGUCCGGAAUUACUGGGCGUAAAGCGCACGCAGGCUGAAUUAUAAGUCGGUAGUCAAAGGCGGAGGCUCAACCUCUGUAUAUCUAUCGAUACUGUAAAUCUGGAGUAUGUGAGAGGGAAGCGGAAUUCCCGGUGUAGCGGUGAAAUGCGGAGAUAUCGGGAGGAACACCAGUGGCGAAGGCGGCUUCCUGGCACAAUACUGACGCUCAUGUGCGAAAGCUAGGGCAGCGAACGGGAUUAGAUACCCGAGUAGUCC
rnacentral:rRNA from 1 species